rnacentral:rRNA from 1 species
AUUGAACGCUGGCGGCAGGCCUAACACAUGCAAGUCGAGCGCGCGGCGUACGGGUGAGUAAUGUAUGGGGAUCUGCCUGGUGGAGGGGGAUCACUACUGGAAACGGUGGCUAAUACCGCGUACCAUAGGCUGAGCCCAAGUGGGAUUAGGUAGUUGGUGAGGUAAAGGCUCACCAAGGCGACGAUCUCUAGCUGGUUUGAGAGGAUGAACAGCCACACUGGAACUGAUACACGGCCCAGACUCCUACGGGAGGCAGCAGUGGGGAAUAUUGCGCAAUGGGCGCAACCUGAUGCAGCCAUGCCGCGUGAAUGAAGAAGGCCUUCGGGUUGUAAAGUUCUUUCAGUAGCGAGGCGUUACCUACAGAAGAAGCACCGGCUAACUCCGUGCCAGCAGCCGCGGUAAUAC